rnacentral:rRNA from 1 species
GACGAACCGUGCGAACGUUAUUCGGAAUCACUGGGCUUAAAGCGCGUGUAGGCGGGCCGCCGCGUCGGCUGCUGAAAUCCCCCGGCUCAACCGGGGACGGGCACCGAUACGGGCGGCCCUCGAGGGGGUAGGGGGUCUGGGACUUCCGGGUGGAGCGGGUGAAAUGCGUUGAGAUCGGGAAGGGAACGCCCGUGGGCGAAAGCGAGGCCCUGG